rnacentral:rRNA from 1 species
AUUGAACGCUGGCGGCAGGCCUAACACAUGCAAGUCGAGCGGAUGAAGGGAGCUUGCUCCUGGAUUCAGCGGCGGACGGGUGAGUAAUGCCUAGGAAUCUGCCUGGUAGUGGGGGAUAACGUCCGGAAACGGGCGCUAAUACCGCAUACGUCCUGAGGGAGAAAGUGGGGGAUCUUCGGACCUCGCGCUAUCAGAUGAGCCUAGGUCGGAUUAGCUAGUUGGUGGGGUAAAGGCCUACCAAGGCGACGAUCCGUAACUGGUCUGAGAGGAUGAUCAGUCACACUGGAACUGAGACACGGUCCAGACUCCUACGGGAGGCAGCAGUAGGGAAUAUUGGGCAAUGGGCGAAAGCCUGAUCCAGCCAUGCCGCGUGUGUGAAGAAGGUCUUCGGAUUGUAAAGCACUUUAAGUUGGGAGGAAGAGCAGUAAGUUAAUACCUUGCUGUUUUGACGUUACCAACAGAAUAAGCACCGGCUAACUACGUG